GUAGGGCGGGACACGUGGUAUCCUGUCUGAAUAUGGGGGGACCAUCCUCCAAGGCUAAAUACUCCUGACUGACCGAUAGUGAACCAGUACCGUGAGGGAAAGGCGAAAAGAACCCCGGCGAGGGGAGUGAAAAAGAACCUGAAACCGUGUACGUACAAGCAGUGGGAGCACAGGUUUACCUGUGUGACUGCGUACCUUUUGUAUAAUGGGUCAGCGACUUAUAUUCUGUAGCAAGGUUAACCGUAUAGGGGAGCCGUAGGGAAACCGAGUCUUAACCGGGCGUUAAGUUGCAGGGUAUAGACCCGAAACCCGGUGAUCUAGCCAUGGGCAGGUUGAAGGUUGGGUAACACUAACUGGAGGACCGAACCGACUAAUGUUGAAAAAUUAGCGGAUGACCUGUGGCUGGGGGUGAAAGGCCAAUCAAACCGGGAGAUAGCUGGUUCUCCCCGAAAGCUAUUUAGGUAGCGCCUCGUGAAUUCAUCUCCGGGGGUAGAGCACUGUUUCGGCUAGGGGGCCAUCCCGGCUUACCAACCCGAUGCAAACUGCGAAUACCGGAGAAUGUUAUCACGGGAGACACACGGCGGGUGCUAACGUCCGUCGUGAAGAGGGAAACAACCCAGACCGCCAGCUAAGGUCCCAAAGUCAUGGUUAAGUGGGAAACGAUGUGGGAAGGCCCAGACAGCCAGGAUGUUGGCUUAGAAGCAGCCAUCAUUUAAAGAAAGCGUAAUAGCUCACUGGUCGAGUCGGCCUGCGCGGAAGAUGUAACGGGGCUAAACCAU
rnacentral:rRNA from 1 species